rnacentral:misc_RNA from 1 species
GAUGAAGAACGUAGCGAAAUGCGAUAAGUAAUGUGAAUUGCAGAAUUCAGUGAAUCAUCGAAUCUUUGAACGCACAUUGCGCCCGCCAGUAUUCUGGCGGGCAUGCCUGUCCGAGCGUCAUUUCAACCCUCAAGCCCCCGGGCUUGGUGUUGGAGAUCGGCGAGCCCCCCGGGGCGCGCCGUCUCCCAAAUAUAGUGGCGGUCCCGCUGUAGCUUCCUCUGCGUAGUAGCACACCUCGCACUGGGAAACAGCGUGGCCACGCCGUAAAACCCCCCACUUCUGAAAGGUUGACCUCGGAUCAGGUAGGAAUACCCGCUGAACUUAAGCAUAUCAAUAAGCGGAGG